rnacentral:rRNA from 1 species
GAUGAACGCUGGCGGCGUGCCUAAUACAUGCAAGUCGAGCGAACGGACGAGAAGCUUGCUUCUCUGAUGUUAGCGGCGGACGGGUGAGUAACACGUGGAUAACCUACCUAUAAGACUGGGAUAACUUCGGGAAACCGUAGCUAAUACCGGAUAAUAUUUUGAACCGCAUGGUUCAAAAGUGAAAGACGGUCUUGCUGUCACUUAUAGAUGGAUCCGCGCUGCAUUAGCUAGUUGGUAAGGUAACGGCUUACCAAGGCAACGAUGCAUAGCCGACCUGAGAGGGUGAUCCGCCACACUUGAACUGAGACACGGUCCCGACUCCUACGGGAGGCAGCAGUAGGGAAUCUUCCGCAAUGGGCGAAAGCCUGACGGAGCAACGCCGCGUGAGUGAUGAAGGUCUUCGGAUCGUAAAACUCUGUUAUUAGGGAAGAACAUAUGUGUAAGUAACUGUGCACAUCUUGACGGUACCUAAUCAGAAAGCCACGGCUAACUACGUG